rnacentral:rRNA from 1 species
UCCUGGCUCAGGAUGAACGCUAGCGGCAGGCUUAACACAUGCAAGUCGAGGGGUAUAAUUCUUCGGAAUUAGAGACCGGCGCACGGGUGCGUAACGCGUAUGCAAUCUACCUUUUACAGAGGGAUAGCCCAGAGAAAUUUGGAUUAAUACCUCAUAGCAUAGCAGCUUCGCAUGAAGCCACUAUUAAAGUCACAACGGUAAAAGAUGAGCAUGCGUCCCAUUAGCUAGAUGGUAAGGUAACGGCUUACCAUGGCAACGAUGGGUAGGGGUCCUGAGAGGGAGAUCCCCCACACUGGUACUGAGACACGGACCAGACUCCUACGGGAGGCAGCAGUGAGGAAUAUUGGACAAUGGGCGCAAGCCUGAUCCAGCCAUGCCGCGUGCAGGAUGACGGUCCUAUGGAUUGUAAACUGCUUUUGCACAGGAAGAAACAACAUUACGUGUAAUGUCUUGACGGUAUCGUGAGAAUAA